rnacentral:lncRNA from 1 species
GGGAGCUGCUGGAAACGGCAAAUUCCGUGCGUUUGAGGUCUCAGUGUUAUAUGUUAUUUUAUUGUUGUUCAAGGCAGAUGUUACUAUUUAUUUUCCCUUUUUGCUCUGGUUUGAUUUGGCUAGUGUGGACAGUCCAGUGCACAUGGUACCUGACGGAUAUGACAGAAAUUAUUUUCCCCAACUUUUAUAAAUUACCCGAUGUUUACCCUCGAGUUUGCUGGAUGAUUUAUUUUUGAAAGCCACAAAUGUAGUUUUUCUGGAUGAAUUGUUUUUCUUAUAAAUGCAGCAGUGUAAUUUUACAUUGAUCUGCAGGGUGAUUUAAAUUUUAUUUUUACAAGGCAGUUUUUCAGUCAGAUUAUAUAUUUGAUACAAUAUGUUAAGGGCAGACCAGCCAAGCGCCGUGCAGUUGGGACACCAGACUGUCUCCAGGAGGCCUUGGGAGGCUGGGCUGGCUUCUCUCGGUCGCUCCGCAUUGUGGACGCACGGGGCUUGUCCCACCGAGCCGUCUGUCAGCAUCCAGAUGGGCUUCUUCAGUGGGACUUUGAUCUCUUGGGCAGUUAGGAAGAUUUUUCAUGGGCAUUUUCCUACACCUCUUAAGGAAGUUCCGUUGGGAGCUUUAGACGUUGACGUAAUCCAGACAGUGGACAAUCCCAGUGGCCCAGACAAGCCAUAGACAUUUUCCUGUGACCUCCGCUCACUCAUCUCUCACGCUCCUGAGAAAAGGAAUGUACAGUAGGUAGAAACUUCCUCAGUGUUCGUGCCCCUCACUUGCAGAUGCGAAUAUGGUGUUUGUAUCUUCAGCCCUCCCCCCAAAGCAACCAUGAAUCUCUCUCUGGCUGCCGUGCCAGCAGUUUUGGCUGCUGUGACGUUGUUCAGUGUAGGCAAGUGCACGUGUGACUUUGUGAUAGGGCUGUGUCCGUGUUACACACACACUGAAACUUUUGGUAAGGAAAACUCUCAACUCAAAAUAAUUGCACUGAUUUUGUGACAGCUUGCUUUUUUAUCACGUCCAACUUGGCCUCUGCUGUACCCGUUUGACACGAUUGUAAAUAGAGGUAGGAUAGCAGAAAUGACGUGACCGCAGCGCGUUGCUUUGUUUCGCGAGACCGCCGCGUCUGCUCAGCAUUUUGCGCCGGAGCUCGUGGACCGGCGCCGCCCUUCCCCUCUCCAGCCGUGUCUGCUGACCAGGCACGAAGGACAGUCGAGCCUCCUCGUCCUUGCUGUCUUUCCCUGAAAGCAAGUUGCCGUCUUCUGGAAGGAGAGAGCGUGCGCUCCCUGCCGUCCGAAGGGUUCAUGCUAAGAGGAGUCACUGUCACUCCGUGGAACACUUUUGGUCUGUUGGCUUCCUUGUCAUUUGCCGUGACUCCCUAAAGCGUUUUGCUUCGAGCUCCGUCCAGCAUUUGACAGCGUGGGCAGGAAGCGUCUGAAUGGCCCAUGUUCCUAGAGAGCUGGGGCCUCCCUGGCUUCUCUUGGGUCAGCCGUCAUACUAAAGCCAUGAGGUCGCUGUGGGGUCAGACCCAUCCUUUGUGGCUUAGCCCAUAGAUGCUGGGCAGACCUCAAGUCCAGUGCUGUUCCUCUCGGCCUUGCCAUUUGCCAGAUUUGAAGUGUGUCUCCAGCCCACAGGGUGUCGCUCUGUUUGUGGUCAGGCAGCCCAGCAUCAGACACACAAAGGGGCCUUUACACCCAAACCGUUCACCCGAGUGUGUGUGACUGUCACGUUGGUGCCAUCUCCGUGCCCUCCCUUAAUGCUUUUUUGGAUGUUUUGCCAUUUUAGUGUCUAAAGUGAAUGUAUUGGCUCAGCCAUAUCACUACAGAAGCUGGUUUCUAAAUACCUUUUAGAUUAAAAAUAAAUGCAGAUAAAGGCUACCUCUGAAUUCUCAAUAGUUUCACGUUUGCUUUUCAGCGGAGCUAUCCACACUGAAAAUAGCCAAAACGUUGCCUGAAUAAACUGAAUUGUGAACAUCUAUCUCUCUGUCCGGUUCUGGCUUGAAAACCGUGUGCCAUACUGUGACCCACGGGCAGUCCCCUCCAUCCCCUGCUGUCAGGGCCGCCCAGCUCCGCGCGUCUAGCCCUCUGAGUGGCCAGCAGCAGGCGUGAAACGAGAGGGCCUCUGCACUGUCCGCGGCGGGGCCGUGGGGCGGCCGGACCUGGAGACGAGCUGCCUUCCUGGCUUUUCACUUUCCUUUUUGCCCGAAGAAUGCCCUUUUUGCUCCCGCUUUCCUUACGACUGGGUUGCAAAUGGCCCUUCCUCGCUGUCCCCUCUUUUGUACGCUCGGAAACCGCAAAGGUGCUCACACACUGACGCUCGUGCGCAUGCUGCGUGGACUGCAUGGUUUCAAAACGCGAUGCCGACGUCAUUGACCUUUGGCGUGGGAACCUUGAGUUACUGUCACUCCAAACUUUACAGUGAUCCAAGGUUUGAAAGCAAAAUGUUCUCUUCAAAUCCAAGGCCCUUUGUUUGAAAGGGACACAGGGUCCAGGGCGGCACCUGGCAGCGGGAGUUCGCGCUGUCGGAGGCCGUCCUGGGAGGGCGUGUCUUCACGUGUGAUUAACCACUUGCUGCCAGAAAUGUCCUCCGCCCACGCGCUGCGGUGGGCCGGUCACUGUCACCCUCUGCCUCCUCCGUGUCUUCCCUCUGGCUUCCUCACCGCUCUCAUCUUUGGAAGGCGAGCCUCUGCUCCAGGGCGCCUGCGCAGUGCGCUCCUGCGUGGACAGGUGGGCAUGACGCGUCACAAACGCCCAGGUGGGUGGAGCCGGCUCCGCUGCCCUGGACGCUGGGCAGACCUCGCCGCGGGCCGGGGAGGUGCCAGGUGCAGUCUCCGCGGCGGUCCUUGCCUUGGGUGCUGCUGUCUGCAGGCCACCCGGUGCGCUUUAAGUGUCCUUCGAGGCCUUCCCGCAGUCACGCUGUGGUGUAGACACAGGCACGCACCCCAAGCAGCAUGGACGCUGGGGGGGUUGCCCACCACGUGUGCCAGUCUGCUUCCAGGGCUGCUGGAGUCCCCUCUGAGGCGGCCUCGUCUUCAGCCAGAGUCUCACAGGGUUGUUCGGGGGCCGCUACCCAAUGGCCCUUCCUCGUGUUAGUGAUGCAAACUUUUGGACCCGGAUGGACCCGUGCUUUUUGCACGCCUGACUCCGGAGCCCUGGGGUGGGGCCGUCUUUGCAUUCAAGAAAGAUCAGUAAGAUGAGGGAGCUGAGGGUUACCUGCGCUUUUGUUAACCCUCUUCUAUCUUCGUGUUGGUGUGAGAAUGUCCCGUGUCGCAUCUCGGAAAGCCCUUGGAGGUGUGACCGAAGGGUGGAGUCCGGCCCCCGCCCCAUCCCCUCCUCAGGCAGGCGGGUAGAGCAGCCGAGGUAUCUCCUGUUUACAUCUUCCUCCGACUGAAGCAGUUCAGAGUUAAAGCUAAAACACCAAAUAUUGACACCCCCCCGCCCCCACCCCCCAUGUCUCCAGGAACUCGAUGGUGAGGCCAACCUCAUUCGGUCUUUCUGAGCCUGCGAGGUCCUUAGAACCGUGGCUUGAUCCCAGAACACCUGCCCCGCCGGGCCAGGGCAUGCGGUGCACACUGGCUGCCUGGCACCACUUGACAGAACUGGGUGCUUGUGUCGGGCCCGGGGCGCCUUUGAACUCUGGAGCUGUGGGAACAGUCCUGGGGAGUGGCCGAGGGCAGGCCCCUCUGACCCAAGAAGCAGGGGGCACCCAGGCGUCCUCUGGUGCCUGCCGGUGCCCGGCCGAGUGUGUUCUGGAGAGAGACACAGCCUCAGCCUCUGUGCCUUUCAGGCCCGGUCCUCAGCGUCCUCCUGGAGCCAUGCUGGGGCUGCUGUCCUGUGUCACCGUCGGUCACUGACCCUCUGCCUUGGCAGCUGCUCCUGCUCCUCGACUCCGGAUGCGCUGCCUCCUCUCGGAAGCUGCUGGGUUCUAGUUGCAGGCUUUCCCCGGGCCCUGAGCAAGUCCACGGCUGCUGUGCUUCCAGGAAAGGGAGCAGGACCCACCUCUUAGGCAGGCACCGACUGACCGUCGGCACCCGGGGGGUUUGUUCUCGUGGUCACUCAGCAAGAGUAGCGAGUGUGAUGGAACCAAGCUUUUAGAAGGAAGGUGCUGGAAUCGGCAUUGUGUCUUUGUAAAACGAGCGUGGAGUCCUCGGUUGUGAGGUGCUAUUUCCAUUCCCGUCCUUUGGAGGGCUUCUCUCGGCCGUUCCCCGUGUGCGGGGAAACUGCUUCCUCCUCGGGGGUGCUGUCACCUGGAGCCGUGCACGCGGGACUCCGGUUUUGACGUCUCGAAAAUGCAGGUCUUAGCUCUGACGUUUCCAAGGCAGGUGUUGAGCAGUUUUUCUUGGCUGAUGGUCUAAUUAAAAACCACCCUUCCCCAUCGAGGAAUGAUCUUAUUGGUUUUGUUGAGUGGGGGAGAUAAUCCAGUGUUACUUGUUUUAGAAUGUCUAGCAAAGCCUUCGUGGUGGCUGCUCCCCGGGCCCCCACUCUGAAGGGCAGCAGCCCUUUCCUUGCAGAGGUGCCGGCGGCAGCAGAGGCUGUGCAGGACCGACUGGGUUCCUCUUCAAAGCCAAAUACACCCAUGACUGAAUUCCCGCAAGUCUGUAGUUUAGCCCGAAAGUGAGAUUUGACUCCUGAGUUUGCUAGUGUGAAUUUUAAAUGUAGUUGUUGAAGGUAUAAAUUCAUGUUUUGUAACUGUACAGGCAAGUGAGUUUUUACUUUUUAAGAAGUUUUAAGGGAAUAAUUGUAAGUUUCUGUGCAGCAAAGUGGCUAAUUACUCAUUAAAUACAAGAAAAGAAUGUAGUGUCUAAAUCCAGAUUUUUUCUUACCUCUGGUACAUUUCAGAUGACUUACCUAAUAUGUAUUGAGGGGCUUUAACCCUGAGUUUUAUCAACUUUUCUAGUUUUAUUUUAUUUUUAUAAAAUAAUUGAAAAAACCAAAAAUGAAUUCAAACGUUCUAUAGGUAGACCUUGUUCUUCUUAAUUUUCCCCCACCCCCCCAAAAAAAAUUAGAAGACAUUUUGAAUCAAAAUGUAUUAUGGUCGUUUAAAGUUUACUCUUUUCUAAGAAGCUAAGCAGCUACAAGGGCCCCAUUUCGGGUGGUGCUCCGCCUGCUGUCUGCGGACGUGUUUACCUGUAUGGUGGGUCUGUGUGACCAUGUCUUGUGCUUGCGGUAUAGAAACCGUGCAGUGCUGUUGUGUAAAUUGACAGUUCCUAUAUAAACUAGUAUUUAUAAACAUUGGCCUCGCUGUAUAACUUUUCAUUUGCUACAUGAAUUGUAAAAUUAAACAUAAAAUUACAAUACCUGCUAAAUACGAUUCUGAGGCUUCCUGUCCUUGUCUUUAGUUAAAUGCCAUUCUGUGUGUUUUGAGGAUGCCCAAUGCUUGCAUGAUGCUAGGUGGUGAUGCCACUUUAAAUUAAGCCUUAAUCAGAUGUUAAACUUGUAUAAGUUUCAGAGUAUGCAAAAAUAUUAGGCAGAAUGAGUUUAACCUGUUCGGAUUCGAGAUGCUAUAUCAUAAUUCAACAAAUCUUUUCUCCAGAGUUACAAAGGGAAACUUUCAGUGAUACAGACCUCUCGCUCUCCCCCUCCCUCUCUCUCUCUCUGACCCCCACCCCCGCACCCCCAAUUUCUGGUCUGGCUUGGCUGUUGCCAUUGCUUGAUGAAAAUGGACCAUUGUGCAUUUCUGUGGCAGUCAGUCAAAAAGACCAUUCUAAAAGUCUUGAGACUUUUUCAGGGUUCUGUUUAAUGUUUGAUGUUUUUUUUUUUUUUUUCCCUCCUUCUGAGGUUUAUUUAUAGCCGAUGGAGAGUAUCAUUUGGGCAUAAAUCUUCUUUGCAGACCUGCUCCUGUUCUCAGUUUUCUUCAGGUAGUACCACCUGUCAUUGCUUCUGCACAUGAUUAAAUGGAUUUUUGUUUUUGUAAAAGCAUCUUCAAUUUAGACAUAAAAUGGAGGGGACCCAGCUUUCUUUACAAUGUGGAUCUACCUCAGUUAAACAGUUGGGUGCUAUUUACUAAGUCUGUCAAAUUAAAUCGGAAAAAGUAACGAAACAGUGAGCUGUAACUCCAAACAAAGCUUGAAAUCAUAAUUUCUGUUUAUUUAAUAAUACUUUUAUUUAUUUUGUGCCUUUUGUGUUGAAUCCUAAUGCAUUGAAAAAAUCAGUAUGGAAUUUAAAUGUUUUAUAUUGUAUGUGGGGAGAAAAAGCCCAAUUGGCCAUGGAAUUUGAUAGAACACCCCAGCCAACUGCUAACAUUUAUUGGAAUCCCAACUGCCCUUUUGUGAAAGGAAAAAAAAA